UUUCUACUCCCUCCGUCCAACAAAGGAUGUCUCAACUUUGACUAAAUUUGAAUGCAUCUAUACACUAAGUCAUGUCUAGAUACAUCCAAAUUUUGACAAACUUGAGACAUCUUUUGUUGGACGGAGGGAGUAUAAG
rnacentral:pre_miRNA from 1 species